AAAACUUGGAGUGCCCAUCCUCUAAUAAUUAGGCCUUUGCCUUCCAUUCUUCCCUCAAAUCCUUCAGAUUCAUGGAUCACUUUAUGGAAAGCAGAGGAAUGAUUUUCU